rnacentral:rRNA from 1 species
UACGUAGGGACCAAGCGUUGUUCGGAUUUACUGGGCGUCAAGGGCGCGUAGGCGGCAAUUCAAGUCACUUGUGAAAUCUCCGAGCUUAACUCGGAACGGUCAAGUGAUACUGCUUUGCUAGAGUGCAGAAGGGGCAACCGGAAUUCUUGGUGUAGCGGUGAAAUGCGUAGAUAUCAAGAGGAACACCGGAGGUGAAGACGGGUUGCUGGGCUGACACGUGACGCUGAGGCGCGAAAGCUAGGGUAGCAAACGGG